rnacentral:piRNA from 1 species
AGGCCAGGCAGUGGUGGCACACACCUUU